rnacentral:lncRNA from 1 species
UUGCAUUUAGCUGCCUGGAAAAAUUUUAUUUCAAAAAUCAUUCUGUCAAAAUUCAAUUCGUAAAAAUGGUCCUGGUCCUAUCACGCAAGCGCCGUGUGGGCGGGGCUGGGGUCAGGAUGUUUAAGUUGAACACGGUGAACCAUUCACCGUGUCUAAGACACGGUGAAUGGUUUUCCGUGUCUCAUGUAUUACCCCCAGGGUUCUCUCUCCCUCUGCCCCAGGCUCUCUCCGACCCGCUGCAAGACCAAGGGCAUGAAUAACACUCUGGACACGGUGAACCAUUCACCGUGUUCAAUUUAAACACUCUGGCCCUAGCCCCGCUCCCGUUGCGCUGACGUGGUGCUUGCGUGGCAGGAUAAGGGUCAUUUUUGUAAAUUUAUAAAUUUGGGAUAAUUUCAUAGAUGCUCUUAUGGAAACCAUUAAUUUCAUCAAUACCCUUCUAAAAUUGAUAAUAUCAUAAAUACCCUCCAAUAUAUAAAAAAUUAUUAUACAUACCCUCCACUAGUUAAAGUCCGUUAGUGCUCAUAUGAAAUGGGGUUAAAUUUUUAAAAUGCCAUUUUUACCCUUUAUCUCUUAUCAAUAGUUAAAUUACUAGUAGGUAUUUCAAUAAAUGUAAAUUUGACUAAUUUAAUAUAUUAAAUAUUAAACUAAAUUAUUAAUAUAUAUUAUUUAUUAAAAAUAUAUAAAAAAAUGUAUUUUAUAUAUAAUAUGUUUUUAUAUAAUUUUGGUUUUGUUUUUGACUUCGGAUUUCGGUUCAAGUUCCGUUUGGAUAUAGAUCAAAAUCAUAACUGAAUUAGAAUAUAAUGAGACUUCUUUUUUUGCACCUAUAACUGAAACUAUCUCUACUCAGCAUCAAUUAAGUUCAUCCAUUCAAAAUUGAGUUCAGAUAUACCUAUAUCAAUUCGCAUUUCUAAUCAGUAAUAGUAAUUUUGAAAUAAAUGGUAGAUUUAAUUUUUUUCUAUUUAAGCAAAAAUAAAUCACAAAACUAUAUGCAUGCAUUUUUUUUGUUGAUUGAAAAAAAAGAGAGAGAGUUUUGUUCAAAAGCUAAAAUAUAUUAUAUUUCAGUUUUUUAAUGCAUUUAAUACAGAUAAAAUUAUCGUGAAUAAUUUUGGUUAAAAUAUUUUGGAAGCUUCCAAGAUUAAAGAAAGAUCGAAAAAAAUCCUCAACUUUGUUUUUUAUUUAAAUUUUUAUACAUAGUUAUUUAUUUGCUAAAAAUAUAAAUAGCGCCACUAAAUUUAGUGAAAUCAUCAAAAAAAACUUGACAAAAUUCUCAUUUUCCAUGUACUAAAUUAGUUAAUAUUUUAAAAACUAAAAAUUAAUGGGAUGUCAACUAAAAUAUAAAAGUUGAGGAAGCUGUUUUAAAACGACAUAUAGUUGAGGGGGUCUCCAUACAUUUUUACUUAAGGGAGCUGAGGGUAAACUGGUCAUAUUAAAAGUUAACCAUUUAAUAACUAUAGUAAAGUUAGAACAACUAACAGUAGGAGUAUUGAUGUUAAUUUUCGAUAUUUAUAGGAAUAUAUGUGAUAUUUUAAACUUUAGAAGGGCAUAUAUGAUAUUUUAAGUUUUGGAAGGGGUAUCUAUGAAAUUGUUCCAUUAAAUUUUGACAGGGCCAUUUUGGGGGUUGUAAAUGCAAAAAAGGCCCGAAAAAAAAAAAACAAACCGAACGGGAUCUACCGUACGAUACCGAUCGGACGGUUGUCGGCUAUGCGGGGCCCACCAAAGUCACGUGACAGAGGUAUGUCGCAUUUAACAGUGCCGUCCCGGUGUACCACUUCGCGAGAUAUAACUGUUUCCUGCACCACGCCCAUCCGUACAUCUCAUGCACCGUACUACUGUAAUAAGCACUUUAACCGACCCGUUUGGUUGGAUAUAAUUAGAGUAAACUUCAAAUACCACUAAGGUAGUUUUAUACUUUUUCACUUUAGUACUCUGUGGUUUAAAGUGUAUCAAAUUAGUAUCCUGUGAUUUUAUUAUUAUAUUUUUAUUAGCUUUUCUAUUAAUAUUUUGUUAAAUUAUAUAAAAAAAACUUCAGAUAUUCUAUCUAGGUUUAUCGAAUAUUUACUUCAGUACACUUUAGUUUUAACUUUGUCGCUAAUUUAACGAAAAAAGUUAGUAGAAUCGAUAAUAAAAAGAUAAAAAUAAAAUUACAUGGCAUUAAAUUGAUAUAUUUUAAAUUACAAGAUACUAAAGUGAAAAGGUGUGAAACUAAAGGGGUGAUAUUUGAAGUUUUUUUUUCUAAUUAUUAGCCCCUGGAUGUUAUUAAUCGUUUUUACGAUAUUAAAUUUUAAUCUUAAAUUAUUUAUUAUCAAGUACAUGGAUGCGGUUCAUGAUAUGUACGGAUGCACCUGGUGCAAGCAAUAAUUCCUCGUAUUAUUUCACCACCUCCCAUGUUCGUAGUCGUUGACUUGCCAAAUACGAACGGCGCUAGUGCGUCGACACGUGUCUGUGUACGCCGAAACACACGGACACGUUUCGCAUGAGAGCGUCGUCGUACGAACUGAGACUCGCUCGAUCACAGCAAAUCCCGUGAGCGUACGAGGCGUUGUUGUGACUCCGAACCGCACAAAAAAAAAAAAAAAAAGGCCACGUAUGAUGACGUGUACACGUCUUGAUUGUGCGCACAGUUAUUAACGUCCACGUGGAGCGGCGCUUUCCUCGCUCUCUGAACCAGGGCCCCACAACCAUGGCAAUUUGUGAAAGAGGCCCAACAAUUUUGAUAUUUUAUAAACAAGUACCUCACUUGUGAUAUGAUAUCUAAGCUACUUGUUCUUAUUUUCAUGAAUAUAAAUAAAUUUGCCUAAAUUUAAAAAUCCUCUUUAAAUUUAAGCUCCUGUGGCAGUAACUCGCAUGUAUUAAAAGUUAAGUAAAUUUUUAUUCUAUCUUUUGUCAUUCUUUCAAAAAAAUCUAAAAUUAUAAAGGAACUAAUAAAUUCAGCUGUAAAAUUUAAAAAAUUUUAUUAAUUUUAUGUAAUUUUUAAGUUAAACAUUAAAUAGGUAUUAAGAUGUAGAUUAAUUGUGAUAUGUCAACUUAGUUUUAUAAAGUUUUGCACUCAAAUUUAUCAAUAUUUAAUGCCAUGAGGAAUUAAAAUUCUUUUGUUCGAGUUUUUUUAAAUAUAAAAUGAUGCAAUUAGCCACCACAUUACCACACUUGCCCUAAAUUAACUUUUUGAUUUUGAAACUUUUUUCAAGCAAUAUACAUAUUUCGUUAAUUUUUUAGAAAUAAAUUGAGUUAAAAAUAUAAAGUGAUUAGAUUCUGAACGGUUCCAAAACUUUUGUUAUAAUAUUUUAGGAUAUGACACAUUGCGAGCGCCAAUUAUGCUAUAAUUUCUUUCGUUUUAAAAAGCAAGUAUUUUUUUUUGUUCUACGAUAGGCGCCGCUACUACUUCAUGACACACUUUUUUUUUUGUUCUUGAACAAGUUUUGUAGGGGAUCGAUCCGCACUGUUUGGUUGUAUAUAGUUAUAAUAGCUGUACUGCAAUUAUAACUAUACGUAGAUUCAAAUCCAAUGUAUUUUAAUAUAUUUGUAAUUCAAUAACUGCACUUAAAACAGCAAAAUAAGACCUAACUGGCAGUUGAAACUUGAAACUGCAUCUAAAUUGACUGUAGUUUCAACUAGUGCAAGUAUUUUUAUAAAUGUUGCAGUAUAUACAUCAUUUAUACGCACAAUGCAUAACUUUUAUUAUAAUAUAUUAUAAUAUAUUAUAUUUGUUUGUACGUUAUAUAUUAUAUUAUUCAUAAUUUAGUGUAUAAAUAGUCCAACUUUAUAUAAAGCCCAAUUUGCAUAAAAAAUCCAUUUCUUUUUGGCUUUCGCAGAUUCGGUCCGCUUUUUCAGCAAACUGACCAAAAUACCCUUAUAUCUUUUUCUCUUUCCUCUUUCUCUCUCCUCUUUUUUUCUCUCAUUCUUUUUUCUUUUUCUUCCCAGAGAGCGGCGAAGACGGAGCGGAGGUGCCCUUAUACCUUUUUCUUUUCUUUUUUUUCUCUUGUUCUUUUUUUUCUUUCUCUUCCCAGAGAGCGGCGAAGACAGAGCGGCGUCGCCGCCGGCGCCCCCACCUUCCUCGCCUCCGAUCCCCCUAAGGCCGGGCUGUGACUUUUUUUUUUUUUUUGCAUUUUUCUUUUCUUUUCUUCUCUGACUCUCCUCCACAGUUUCCGACGACGGUGCCUCUCUCGCUCUUCCCUGCCCUUCCCGUCUCUUCUUCUCCCUCCUUCUUUGCUGCCUCCGACGACGAUGCAUCUUCGCCGACACCGACGCCGACACCGUGGAGAUCACUGCGGCGCUGCAGCCUUAGAGUGGGGGGUCUUUAGUGGCGUCGUCACCGACACCAUGGCUAUUGACAGAGAGGGUGACAAAAAAAAAACAGAAAACAAAUAAAGAUAAAAAAUUAUAUAAAAAAAGGGAUGAAGAUGAAAUUGUAUCGUUAACUACAAAAAAAUUACAAGUUGUACUAUUUAAGAUGUAAACUGCAGCUUUAAAAUAAAAAUUACACUUUUUAAAUAAAAAUUACACUUUUUGAAAGAUAUUUAGACUGUUUCUCUUCUUAUUGCACUCUUUCAGAUAUAAACUGCACCCACUAAGAUAAAAAUUACACUCUUUAAAUGAAAGUUGCACUGUUUCUCCUUUUGUUGCACCGUUUCUCCUCUUGUUGUAUCAUUUCUCCUCUUGUUACACUGUUUUUUAUCUUAAACUACACCCAUUUAAGAGAUAUUUAUACUGCUUCUCCUCUUGUUGCACUGUUUCUCCUCUUGUUGCACUGUUUCUCCUCUUUAAAGAGAAACAGUGCAACAAGAGGAGAAACAAUGCAACAAGAGAAGAAGCAGUAUAAAUAUCUGUUAAAGAUGUAUAGUUUAAAAUAAAAAACAGUGUAACAAGAGUAAAAAUCGUGCAACAAGAAAAAAAACUGCACCCAUUUAUCUUAAACUGCACCCAUUUAAGAGAUAUUUAUACUGCUUCUCCUCUUGUUGCACUGUUUCUCCUCUUGUUGCACUGUUUCUCCUCUUUAAAGAGGAGAAACAGUGCAACAAGAGGAGAAACAGUGCAACAAGAGGAGAAGCAGUAUAAAUAUCUGUUAAAGAUGUGCAGUUUAAAAUAAAAAACAGUCCGACCCCGUUCGCCGCGGCCGCUGCCGCUGCGGCGACGGGAUCGGGCUGGGGGUCCGCGGCGGACGCGGCGUCUCGACGUCGUCGUGGGAGAAGCAGAGGCGCUGGUCGGCGGCUUCUGCGCGGCGGCGGGAGGAGGGGCAGCGUCGACGGAGAAGAACACGCGCGGCGCUGGUGCCGGCGCCGGUUGCGCUUCCGCCUCCCCCUCCUGCGCUCUGUUGCUUGGCCUCCCCUUCUUCAUCUUCGCCGUUGUCUUCUUCUCCGCAUCCAGCCCAACCCCGUUCGCCGCGGCCGCUGCCACCGCGGCGACGGGAUCGGGCUGGGGGUCCGCGGCGGCGGAGGAGAGGAGGAGGGGGUCGCGGGCGGUGGAGAGGAGGGUGAGGAGGGGGGCGACGGUGAAGAAGGAUGGUGAGGAGGGAGACGACGGUGAAGAAGAAGGCGACGGUCCGCCUUUUUUUUUUCGGCGAGAAAAAAAAAAAGAACGAUAGAAACGAAGAGGAGAGAUAAAGAGGAAAGAGAAAAAGUAAUAAGGGUAUUUUGGUCAGUUUGCUGAAAAAGCGGACCGAAUCUGCAAAAACGAAAAAGGUGACCCGAUUUUGCAAAAGCCCAAAAUAAGUAGAUUUUUUAUGCAAAAAGGCCUUAUAUAAAUUGUUCCAAUAUUGUAUAAUUUUAAAUCCAAAAUCCAGUUUCGAUGAAAUAAAUAUAUCUCAGGGACUAUUUGACUAUAUGCAAUUGUAGCUGCAUUGCAUUUAUAAUUAUUGGCUUAAAUGGGCCAGCAUUUACCCUGUGAUGGAAGGUCAGGUUGGGCCGAGUCAUGUUCGGAAUGACGUGAGAUUGAGUUGAGCCGAGUCAUGUUCAAACUGGUACGAGGCUGGUUGGAUCAAGUCACAAUCGAGACCCGUGGACGCUGUGAUUUGGUUGCGUAUUUCUAAUAACUCGAUCUUUUGGGAUUAAUGGUUAGCACCAGCGAUCCGAUAAGCGGUAUCAGAACCAGAGGUCACGGGUUCGACUUCCGCAUACGAGUUUGAUUCCUGUAUGCUACGAAAUGUGUCCAGAUGCUUAAAUGGUUCACGUUGAGAAUUGCGUGAGGUUAGAUUAGAUCAAGUAAUGUUCAAAAUAACGUGGGACUGAUUGAAUCGAAUUAUAAUCGCGAAUUACCGAAGCUUGGAACUGCAGGAAUAGAUCCAACUGCAGAAGCAAUUGCUGUCACCUUAUCAAAUAUUUAAUAAGGUGACUGCCGACGCAAAUAAAGAGGGUGUUUUUUUGGUCGAAUAUAUUUAUUAGCCGGCGUUAGAGAAGAUAUUAUAUGAUGGACCGGGUCCUCCACGUCAUCUGUGAACCAAUUUCUCUAAAACCCCUCAGCUAGGGAGCAUUUUGUAACACGGUUUUAUGCUUUUUAACUUCUAGAUUUUUCUUAUUUAAGUUUAUUUUAAUCAACUAUUGUAGAAAUUGAUAAGAUUAAUCCAUAAUUUUUUGAAUUUAUUUAAUAAUUACUAGCUACUAAUUCAUGAAUCUGCUUCUUAUAGAACAUCUGUAGAACAAAUAUAAUGCUCUUUUUUUUAAAAAAAAAACUCUACCAAAUUACUUUAUUCAUACGUCUCAAAUAAUAAUAAAAGUAUAAAUAAAAUGUUAAUUAAAAUAAAGUACGUAAAAUUUCAGGGGCUAAUAUAACAAUCACCUAUAGUUAAAGUACCUCCAUGCAAUUUCACAAACAUCUAAUCAUAGAAACCAACGAAGCAUGGUCCGAGGUGGUGGUCCUCCAAUGAUGACGUGGCAAACAUGGUCUACGAAACAAUUCCGUGCAUGAGACGUUUCGCUGUCGUGGUCCAACGUAGUGACGUGGCGAACCGGGCCUACCCAAUAAUUUCUCACAUUUAACACCUCUCUCUCUCUUUCUCUCUCUUCGUGUACCAAUGAUGUCGUGGCGAACCGGGCCCACCAAAUAAAUCCUCGCAAAAAACGCCCCUAUCCUUUGUGGUCCACCAAAGAUGACGCGGUAAACCGGGCCCACCGAAUUUCUUCGUAGGAAACGCCUCUCUCUCUCUCUCUCUCUCUCUCUCUCUCUCUCUCUCUCCUCGCUUAAAACCUCCCCCCUCCACACAUUUCCUCACCCCCUCACUAUUAUCACUCUCACUCUCUCUCUCUCUCUCUCUCUCUCUCUCAUUGAUGGAGCUCCAAAACCCUAGCAAUGGCGGCGGCGGCGGGGGGGAAGGAGGAGCCCUAGAAGACGAGGCCUUCUUCCUCGACGCGGCCCCCAACGAGGAUGAAGAGGAGGAGCAGGAGGAGGACUACGACGAGAGCUCCUGCUCCACCCCAUUCGUGAGCGCACCCUCGAGCCCCGGCAACGAACCCUCCUCCGCCAUGGGCUCCACGGUAGGGUUAUUCUACAGCGCCCCCACGAGCCCCGUCCACUUCGCCCUCGCCUCCUCCUUCCCCCUCGACUCCCCCUCCGAUUCCCCCACCUUCGCCGCCGAUUUCGAGUUCUCCGCGCGGUUCCCCGCCUCCGCCGCCGCCGGAUCCAUGUCCGCCGCCGACGAGCUCUUCCUCAACGGCCAGAUCCGCCCCAUGCGCCUCGCCUCCCACCUCCACCGCCCCCACGCGCUCCCCCCACUCCCCGAUCUCGACCCCGCCGGAGACGACGACGACGACGACGAGGAGGAGAUCGCGGGGCGGGGCCGGGAUCUGAAGCUCCGGAGCCGGUCGAUCCGUCGGAGGGCGCGGUCGCACUCCCCGCUCCGCAAUGCGCCGCUCCAUUGGGCGAUCGAGGACGGGGGAGGCCCCGAUCGGGACGAUCGGAGCGCCGGAGACCCCGAUCCGAAGCCGAUCGACGCGCCCGCGCCCUCCGCUCCCCCCGCCGCCGCAUCCCGAUCGUCCUCUUCCUCCUCAUCCGCCUCCUCCUCCUCCUCCUCCUCCUCUUCCUCCUCCUCGAGCAGGCGAUUGAAGAAGUGGAUCUUCCUCAAGGAGCUCCUCAACCGGAGCAAAAGCGAGGGGAGCGGCGGAUCCAAGGAGAGGUUCUGGAGCUCCAUCUCCUUCUCCACCUCCCCCUCCCCCUCCCCCUCCUCCUCCAAGGACCGAUCCAAACCUAAACCCCCGCCUCCUCCGGCGAAGACGAAGCCUAGAAACCCCAACCCUAGCCCUCCGCCGCCGAGGUCUCCGGCGAGCGGCGGCGGAGGGAGGCGGCGGCGGGGGUCGGCGCCGUCGCCGUCGCCGCACGAGAGGCUGUACGCGGCGAAUCGGGCCCACGCGGAGGAGAUGCGGCGGAGGACGUUCCUCCCCUAUCGCCAGGGCCUCCUCCUCGGGUGCCUAGGGUUCGCCCCCCGGAGCUACGGCGCCGUUAACGGCCUCGCCCGCGGUCUUAACGCCGUCAACGUCUCCUCCUCCUCCAGGUGAGGUGAGUCUCCGUCCCUCUUCUCCUCCGUUAACUCUCCAAACCAUUUCAAAAAAAAAAAAAAAAAAAAAAAAACAAAAAAUUUUAAUUGAAAAAAUAUCAUUCACUAUUAGCACUUGCACUUUUGAUUAUUAAUACACAACUAGGAGAUUGAUUAANAAAAAAAAAAAAACGAACACUACUUGAAAGUUGAAACCAAUUCGUUUUUUUUUUUUUUUGUUUUGUAUAUUAUUUUGUUUCUCUUCUUCUUCUUCUUCUUCUACGGGGGAAAAAGAGAGUUAGUUUUUUUUAUGAUCAUUGGACAAUAUUUGUUGUCUAAAAUGGUAUGGGAUUAGCCCUAAACAUUUCCUAAUGUUUUGUAAAUGUUCAAGUUUAAAAAAAAAAAAGAAAAAAAGAAAAAUAUCGUCGUUUUGUGUUAAUUCACUCGCGCAUGGAUUUUUUUAUAUUUAGUGUGUGUGUGUAUAUAUAUAUUUGUUUAGGCGAUUCAAAUAGUUUAGGAGUUGGAAAAUAUACUCUCUUUUUUUUUUUUGAUUGUUUGAAUUGACUUUCACAAAUUUAAAUUUAAAUAGUUUAUUUCGGCAUUUCCCUCGAUCGAAAUUAUUAGUUAUAGAAUUGUUUUGAUCCCAUAUUUAAUUUGUACAUAAUCUUAAAAUACGAGAAAAGUUGUUUAUUCUCUUCUACAUUUUAAGAUUAUCAUGCUAAUUGAAGAAGCGGUUGAUUCUACUUUCAAAUUUUAUUGAUUUUUUAUUUUUACAUGUUAGAAUAAAAAAAUAAAUUUUCUUUAUUCGAAAGUUUCGUUAGAUUUUAUGCAAGAGAUGUGCCGAAACAUACUAAUAUAUAGAGGUUAGGAAUUUAAUAACCAAGAGCUUAUGUAAAUUAUAGAUUAUUUUAAAUUAACUAUCAAAUAUUUCAAAUUUAUAUUCUACUAUUCCAAUUAUUUUGUUUGAUUUGAGUUGAUUAACGAAAAUUUGAUAUUAAUUUAAACUAAUUAUUUAUUUUAAUAAAUUUAUAUUUGUCGGAAUUGUAUAAAAUAUAUUAAUUAAAUUUGUAAAAAAUAAGUAAUAUAUUCAAAAUUUAAAAGUUAAACAGUAAAAUUUAAAUUUUAAAAUAUCGCCAGCUGAUUCAAAAUGAUAAAAUUUAGUUUAGAUAAGAUUCAUACAUUUUCGAACCAAAGUAUAAAAUUAAAGAUAAACUUCAAAUAUCACUCCUAUGGUUUUGUACUUUUUUUAUUUUAGUAUUUUAUGAUUUAAAGCAUAUCAAUUUAGUAACAAUAUAAUAAAAAAAUAAAGUAAAAUUAUGAAAUAUUAAAUUAAUAUAUUUUAAACUAUAAAAUAUUAAAAUAAAAAAAAGUACAAAAUUACAUUAGCGGUGGUAUUUAAAAUUUUUUUAAAAAUUAAUAAGAUCAGGGGCUAAAAUGGUGAAACUUCGGGGUUUUCGAUGAGGGCAUAGAUUUUCUCAUACACUUCCCUUGAAAUGGAAAAGGUACGGAUACAUGCCACGUGAUUUAUGACACCGUCACGUCGUAUAUUUUAUAUUAUUUUGCUUUUUUUUUUUUUUAUUUGUCGGGUAAUGCAUUCGGAUCCUAUCCGUUAAAACCCUUCUUGUCCGUUAGCGCGUCACUAACGGACGUUAUUUGUCGUUAUGUUGCUAAUCCGGAAUCUGAUGGAUUAUUAUUAGAGUUGAAAAUCAAAAUUAAUUUUAUUUUGCUGUUGUUUGUUUGUUUGUUUUUUUAUAUAGUUGUGAAAUCAAUGUUUUCUCGAUUAAGCUGUUUGUUUAACAAAAAGUGAAUGAUGCGAAGCCGAACGCGUGAGAAACAAAUUAAUAUCUUAUAAUAUAUUUUUGUUUCUCUCAUAAGUGAUUUGGGUUGGAGGUAGGGAUGUCAAUGGGUAUGGAUAUUCGAAAUUUUAUUCGAAUCCGAAUCCGAAUGAAACGAAUAUAUCCGAUGGAUAUGAAUAUGGAUUCGGAUAUGGAUAUCAAAAAUUGAAACCCGACGGAUAUGAAUUCGGAUAUGAAUUUUGAUUGUACCCGACCCGAACCCGAACCCGAAUUUAUUUUGUAUUAUAUAUAAUAUAUAUAUAAAAAUUUGAUGUUAUAUUUGAAUUUGUAUUUUAAAAUUUUAGAUUUAAUAUAAUAUAUUUUGAAAUAUUGAAAAAAGAAUAAUUGUUUCGGUUUCAAAUUUUUGGGUUUGGAUUUGGGUUCGGGUUUCGGAUUUUUGGUCGGGUUGGGAUUUGGAUAUGGAUUUUAAAAUCUGUCGGGUUCGGGUUCGGGUUCGGGUUCGGGUUCGGAGUCAUGUUCUGGUUCGAGUUUUUAAAAAUCCGCCCCGAAUCCGACCCGUUGACAUCUCUAGCUGGAGGUGCUGCGGCCAAAGUCAAUUACGAUAUUUUAGAAAGUUUGAGUUUUUAUCUGAAGUAAAGUUAUAGUAAAUUAAACAAUAAAAAUGAGCAUUUAUGGUCGGUAAAACAAUGGAUUAGGAAUUAGCUUGUGGAUCAUAAGCACUAACUAAUUAUUCAAAGCACGUGUUAGUAGGAAAGGAUGUGCUGAUCGCACUUAAGAGUUCAACCACAUUGCUGACGGGUUUCAGCCCGACUUAACUUAAUUCAUCUGGACAUUAAGUCGAUUAUCAGUAAAGACCACAUUGCCGACGGGUUUCAGCCUGACUUAAUUUAUCUGGACAUUAAGUCUAUUAUUAUCAGUAAAUUUAACUGCAGCCUCAUUCAGUUUAUUAAACUCACUCAAUUCAACUUAUGAGUCUUCUGAAUCUAUUAUUAUGAAAAAGAAAGUUAAAUUUACUUUAGCUAACAUUAGUUGUCAUAAACAAAGAUAACUGUGGUGGCAAUGUCAGUAAGUAGUUUAUUCUUUUGUCCUUAUUCAGGAAGGUAAUGCAGCACUUACACUUUGUUGAAUUUGGUGCUACAUUUGACAGAAUACUUUUAGAAGUAAAACUAGACGGUCUAUCAUAGAUGAUCAGUACCGUUGAAUAUAAUUUAAAUUAUUUUUUUAUAAAAUUUAUUAAUUUUUUAAAAUUAUUUGUACAAUGAUCAAAUAAUUUCAAAUUUACUUUAUAAUAUUGGCCAUUUAAAAUUUGUAAUUUUGAGAUCAAUUAGAAUACGGGACAAAUGAUAUUAUAAAAAUCGUGAAAUUUGAAAAUUAAAAAGGUCCAAUUGUGAAAUUUCCUUUUUAAUUUGAAAAUUAAAAAGGAAAUUUGCGUUGCAUUGUGCAAAUUGUGCGAAAUGUUACUAUAUUAGAUUAGGCUAAAUUAUAGAAUUUUUUUUUUGUAAAUAUUCUUUUUUCUUUUUUUUUUUACUUUCAAAAAUUUACAUUUUGCCUUUUUAAAAUUUUAGGAAUAUUUUCAGAGGGAGUACGUCGUUAAUGGAGAUGACGAAAUAACUAAAUUAUUCUUAUUUCUUCUAUUAAAAAAUAAUGUUUAAUAUUUUUUGUUAUUUUUAAGAAUAUUUUCAGUAUAAAUUAUAAAAAAUGAACGAAAUAAUAAUAAAAUCCUGAUGGAGGGGGUCUAAAUGCAACAAUUUGAAAUAUUGAGGGGAAUAAAAUGUAGGUUUUUGGAAAUUAGGAAGAAAAAGUAAAAAAAGCGUGAGUAUUUACAAAAAGAUUUUUUAUAAUUUAACAUAUAGAUUAUCCAUUAGUUGAUAAAUUUAUGACAUGCGCAAAUAAAUCACUUAAGACUCUUUUCAAUAUGUGUGCAAACACAUUAUUACUAUUAUUAUUAUUAUUAUUAGUACUAUUUACUUUGCUACUAAACUUAUGAACUAUAAUUUUGUUCCCGUGAAUUAUAACUAUUACCCAAAUAAUUGUUUCCUGUUACUACAUAAGUAAAAUAUUGGUGAGCUUAUAAGAGGGUGUGUACCAUUACUCACUAUUUUUAUAUAUUAUUAACGUAUUGUUAUCACUGUUUUUAUAUAUUAUUAAUGUGUUGUUAUUAUAAUGUAAAAUUUUGAUUACUUUAUAGGAAUCUUUCGGAAGCUGUAAUUUUUCUUCGUGUUAAUUCUAAAAGAAAAAAAAAUUUAAAAAUAAUUCUUUGACGCUAUAUAGAUUGAUGAAAAAAAUUUUCUUUUUGUUAUAAUUUUUUGUUAACGCCAAUGUGAAAGUAAUGUGAUAUUUUAAUUAUUGUUGCAUUAUCAUUCACAAUACUGUUAUAUUAUUUUCACAUUACCAAUACAUGAAUAUUUAGUCAGUUAAAUUGGAUUAUGAGACUUGAUUAUAAUAGAUUAAAAUGUUUCGAGAAAAAAGUAAAACAAUUUAAAGUUUACGAACCAAAGUAUCUUAUGCCCCAUAGUUUAAGGACCAAAAGUGUGAUAUAGCUAAACAUAGAUGUGAUAAGCAACUGUAAUUAGAGGUGAAAGUGUUAGGAUAAGCUUCGAUUGAAUUCGACACUAGAUUCUACAGGAUGUGAAUAGGGAUGUUAAAAUUUAGCAUUCAAUAUAUAUUCAUAUCUGAAUUUGUAUUCAAAGAUGCGAAUAUAGUUUCUUAAAAGAUCCGAUCGUAUUCAACCGUUUUCACCCCUAGAAGAUAAGAGGGAUGUUAAUAUAUAUUAUAGAGGAGUAAAGUGGUUUUCUAUUGUAUUCUUUAUUUAUUUUAUUAUGAUUUUUAUGUUAAAAUUGCAUUUAUAUUUUUUAAUUUGUUGAAUAAAAUAUUGAUAUGUGAUGUUUGAACAUGAAUGUGAAUCUUAAUUGCAUUGUGUAUUUUAUUCGCGCUAAUUUUAGUUCAUAUUUUUAUAUCCAUAUUAGUAUAUAUUAUUAUUCGAACAAUAUCCGAAUGCAAAUUCAAUUUAUAUCUGAAUUCGAAUUCGUUUUUAGUGGAUAUGGUAAUAAAGAUUUAGUAUCGGAUAUAUAUAUCCGAAUCCAAGUUUACAUCCCAAGAAAAAUAUGAAUGUGGAUAUAGUUUUGUCAAAAAUCUGACCGUAUUCGACUGUUUUCAUUCCGAACUCUAAUAGAGUAUUAUAUAUCCAGGAAUUAUUAUAGAGUCUGGUUGGGGUGCUUCUAAAAGCACUAAGCGUUUGGUGCUAUCAAAUUUUUUACCGUUAUAUUUAUCUUUUUGAUCAUUUUUAUCUGUUACAUCAUACUAUUCAACUACACAUCCAUUCAACUCUAGAGAAUCAUUAUUAUCUUAACCGCAUAUGUCUUCAUCUGAGGGCCGAAAAUUUAGUAGUACAAAUAAUUUGGUGCUAUUAAAAGCAUUUCAGUGUAAUUUUGUAUUAUAUAUCAUCCUUGGACCACAUGAUAUAUUAAUAAAUACUAGUAUUUAUUGUGCUCAAAACAUGCUUUAAAACCAAGCACAUGGCCCUCAUUAACCAUCUAAAGGCUAUGCCAAUGAUGCAAUGGUAUCUUUGAACACUUUGUCAUAGGAAACAACAUAGCAUGGCUAAAAGCAAAUCAAAUCUAUAUAUAUAUAUAUGCUUAUUUAUUUAUUUAUUUAUUAAAUAUAGAUCCUUUCUCCUUUUGAUUAAGAAGAUGGGGUUUUAUCUUUAUCAUUAUUUUUUCAGAAAAAGCUCUAAAAGGAGUCUAACUAAGAACUUCAAAGGGGUAAAGUUAAAGUUGAAAUUGGGUCCAUUAAUUAUUGGGAAUUGGGAUGGCCUACACAAAAAUUAACUAUAAAAGUUUUAAAAGUUAAAUUUGAAUAAGUGGAGAAUCAAUUGUUGCAAUUAUUUAAUUUAAUCUGAAUUUUUUGUCAGGUUUUAUUAAACAUCUUCAGCACAUCAGAGUCACAUGACAGAAAUUUUAUGCAUAGAUUACAUAUAAUUAAUGCUAAAGGUUUUGAUAAACUUUAUAGAAACCGAAUUUCAUAAUAUUGCCA